UACGUAGGGUGCAAGCGUUGUCCGGAAUUAUUGGGCGUAAAGAGCUCGUAGGCGGUCAGUCGCGUCUGCUGUGAAAACUCGGGGCUUAACCCCGGGCCUGCAGUGGGUACGGGCAGACUAGAGUGCGGUAGGGGAGACUGGAAUUCCUGGUGUAGCGGUGAAAUGCGCAGAUAUCAGGAGGAACACCGGUGGCGAAGGCGGGUCUCUGGGCCGUAACUGACGCUGAGGAGCGAAAGCGUGGGGAGCGAACAGG
rnacentral:rRNA from 1 species